CUACGGGGCGCUCCAGUGAGGAAUAUUGCACAAUGGGGGGAACCCUGAUGCAGCAACGCCGCGUGGAGGAUGACGCAUUUCGGUGUGUAAACUCCUUUUAUAUGUCAAGAAAAUGACGGUAGCAUAUGAAUAAGCACCGGCUAACUCCGUGCCAGUAGCCGCGGUAAUACGGAGGGUGCAAGCGUUACUCGGAAUCACUGGGCGUAAAGGACGCGUAGGCGGGUUGGAAAGUCAGGUGUGAAAUCCUACAGCUUAACUGUAGAACUGCACUUGAAACUUCUAAUCUAGAGUAUGGGAGGGGGAGAUGGAAUUAGUGGUGUAGGGGUAAAAUCCGUAGAUAUCACUAGGAAUACCUAAAGCGAAGGCGAUCUCCUGGAACAUUACUGACGCUAGGGCGUGAAAGCGUGGGGAGCAAACAGGAUUAGAUACCCCUGUAGUC
rnacentral:rRNA from 1 species